UGAGUUUCAGCUCUAACCAAACCAUGUUCCUCACAUCUACGCUGGUGCUGUUACUGCUGAUUACAACACGUGUGCAGUCCCAGGUUGUCCUCACCCAGUCUGAGCAGUCACUAGUAGUUGCUCCAGGUGGAUCUCAUAAACUGACCUGUGCCUGUAGUGGGUUCAACUUGGGCAGCUAUAGGAUGCACUGGAUCCGUCAGGCUCCUGGGACAGGACUGGAAUGGAUCAUGCACUACUACACUGACUCUAGUAAAGGCACAGCCCAGGCAGUACAGGAAAUAAGAAGAGAGACAUUCUGCAGAGGAUCUCUGACACUGUGUCACAAGGAUCUUAUUUAUCAUGUCUGGAUUCAUUCAUGCCAUGUUCCUCAUAUGUUCACUGCUGCUACUGAUUGCCACUUGUGUCCACUCUCAGAUUGUCCUCACAUAGCCUGAGGAGUCAGUAGUAGUGGCUCCAGGUGGAUCCCACAAACUGACCUGUGCCUGCAGUGGAUUCAGUGUGGGAGCUGCUGAUGUGCACUGGAUUCGUCAGGCUUCCCUUUUACACGACAUACUUAAAGAUGAUUUAUUUUAGGACUAGUGGAAAUGGGCUGUUUUUCCAACAUGUGGAGACAAUUUGCUAUCUGUUAGUCAUAGGCUUACUUUUUAAAGUUCUAAUAUAAGGACUUUUUCAACAAUUGUUUUAUACUUAUGAAACACUACAAGAGCAUAUCUGUUGACAUAUAAGUAAAAAUAUAAAUGCAUUAAAUAGACCAAUAAAUUUAACAGUGAGUCCUGAUGUCCCAUACCAGUUUGUCCUCACACAGUCUGUGCAUUCAUUGUAGUGGCUCCUGAUGGAGCCCACACACUGAUCUUUGCCUACAGAGGGUUCAGUGUUGGAGAGUCCAAAAAUCAGCAUGUGCUGGAUCUGCCAGGUUCCUGGGAAAAGACUCAAGUGGAUUGUUUUCUAUUAUUCUGAGUAGCAAGAGCUCAGCUCAUGCAGUACAGGGUGAUGAGGCAG